ACUUGUUCUGUUUCUGCGACAGCCAAUGCUGAAACCUGACUAGGAGAUGGACAAAGAGGGACCCAUGCAUGCAAACUACAGCGAGGAUCGUGUGAGGCCCAAGGAACACUUCUACCGGCUAGAACUGGCCAGUUUAGGUUCAUUAGAGAGUCAAACUGCUCCCUGUAACUCAGCCAAAAAAAGUUCAAAUUUCCAACAUGAGUUACGCCUUGCUUUUUAACCUUAUGGGCAAACAAUAAAAGAGGAACAGGAGAAAAAGACUAGUCCAGAGAUGGAAUUUCAGUACUGACAGGAACACUUCUACCGGCUAGAACUGGCCAGUUUAGGUUCAUUAGAGAGUCAAACUGCUCCCUGUAACUCAGCCAAAAAAAAAUUCAAAUUUCCAUUACGCCUUGCUUUUUAAGCUUAAGGGCAAACAAUAAAAGAGGAAUAGGAGAAAAAGACAAGUCCAGAGAUGGAAUUUCAGUACUGAAAGAACAAGGAAUACAAGACAUCACAUCAUUCUCCGUGAACAAGAGGACAGAGUAGAAAAUAGAAAGAAGGGCAAGAAUGAACUUGCAGAGCAAGGGAAACAUUAACUAUCUUUAAUAAAUUCAAACAUCUUCAGCAAAACAAAACUGCACAUAAGAUCAUCCCCGCCACAAGUCAGUCUCACUAUGAUAUUUUUCCCUAAGGAUCCAUGAUGCUAAACAUACAGUUACAGUGACUCACGCU
rnacentral:lncRNA from 1 species